ACCAAAAGAUUUCCUGCACAAAUUCAAUGUAAAAGCAAUAACUUCAACAAAAAAUAAAGUCAAACUUUUGCGCGUAGACACCCCCAUAACCAUGCCUUUUCUUAAAGAGCAUUCCAAGCCGCAAUGAUUUAAACAAUAAAAAACAUAGGUCAUCCAAUAUGUAAGAAAGAACUCAAUACGAAUAAGCGGUCACUGUUUUAUGGCCAUCUUUUUACCGGCAUCCCUCCAGUUGAUGAUGGUUUCCCGCCAACUGUCAAAGUCUUAUGUAGUCUCCAACCUUAAAGCAGAACAGGGAAUUUGUAGUAUACAACAAUGUUUUCCCUACCACAUGAACACAGAAAUAUUCAAAAAUAAAGUCAUGGCAAGUGCCCGUACAGAGAAUUGUGUCUUCAAAUAAAUAAAGAUUUUGUUUUUAGAGGGUAUAGCAUUGAACACCAAAAGUAUUUAGUGUAUUGUAACCUUAAGGUCAAAUCAGCCUAAGAAAUAAAUCAAGUGUCGUCUGGGGUUGUAUAAAAGGUCAUUUAAGGUGAAAAACUGGGUUAAGGAGCUACACAGAAAAACUAAUUCAGGUUGCAUCAUCAAUAGCUCUUGCUGAGAGAUAAUUUAAUUAUUAUCUAGCUACAUGGCAUCACCUUUAGAGGUUUCAUAGCCGGGACCUUGCAUUCUGCCAUCUCUUCAUGGCGGCCAAGAAGACGGGCAAGAUCGGCAAAACGAAGGUAGACGUCGGCUUCAUCAGUGAAGGCUUCUCCAACUGGAAAGCGGGGUACCAAGAAGUUCCGGAAGCAAGACGAAAGCGAGUGCCACAAGGAGGCGGUCAAGCUACUGGUGACGCUUCCCGCCACUAUGCGUGACGUGAGAAAGACGCUGUCAGUGGGGCACGCUAAGGAGAAGGCCGACAACCGGAAGCAGCUGCUGCAAAUCCUACACAGCUUACGGUUCCUCGCCCACCAGGGCAUCACACUACGUGGGCAUGAUAACGAUGAGGGAAACUUCAUGCAGCUGCUACACCACCACGGUUGUGUGUUGUGAAUGUAAUGUUUAAUAAUGUAAUUAUUUCUCAUAUCACUUGGUAAACUCUGCCAUUAAAAUACAUAAACAUU